CUUUCAUGACAAUACGUGAGACGAGUAGCGAGACGUAGCUUUCUGAAUUAUUUACUUUUUGUUUGGUUGUGUGGUUAUGGUUUCAUAUCAACUCGCUGAGGAAAACAACUGAAGGAAGAAAUGAACAAAUAUAUAUUCGUGAAAAAUAGUGUACUAUAGCUGCAAUAAGAUGCCGUAUUAUUGUGCAGUAAAAGGAUGUGGAAACAAGGUUCUCAAAACGAAAAAUAACCCGGACAUUGUUUACCACACUUUUCUCCGAGAUGGAGAUAAAAAUCAAGGUAUAUGCUAACGUCAUUUCCAUAGCAGCAGCUACGAUGACCGACAUCAAAUGCGCCAUGAACUUAAUGGUACGAAGAAAUAUAGGAUGUUGAAUUCCAAAGUUAAACCUUUUUUCUGCCUUAUAUGUAUCAGCCAUUCUAUGUCGAACCGAUAUAGUGGUUCUCCGGAUUUCGUGGAAAGGCUGUGUGGUAUACGUUGCAAAUCGUGAAUAUUGUCACCGGAUUAAGGGCAUUGUAGUGAUGUAGAACGUUGAACUUUUGACUAGUCUGAAAUCGAUCCACCGCCGCAACAAUAAGAAAUUUCUCACCGUGCAAUUUUUCGAAAUGACUGGUAUACUCAUCGGCAGUGCGGAAAUACUCUCAGCAUACAAAGCAGCAGCGCAAAGAGGGGUCCAAAUUGUGUUUCAGCAUACGUUCCACCGCAGUCACAUAACGAAUUCCCGAUAGAAGUCGAUUCGCCACUACCAUCUCUUUAAUUUCCUUCAAAACUUUGUCGUUUUGUAAAAUUGCAUCCAGCAUACGCAGGAAUUUGUUUUGCUUUUCGGAAGUCAACUCUGAAAAAUCAACAAAUAUAAUCAUUCUUGAGUGGAAUAAAUAUAUCAAACCGACCCACCAGCAUGAUUGUUCUGUUCGUGCUGCUCCAGUAGGUUUCGCAACCGCUCCAUGUUGAAUUUAAAAUGAUUUGGUCGAUUACCAUUGGCAUGCUGUUGGAUUGGCUCAUUACGUGUUAUCAAAUCGUGGUUCAUCAGCACCCAGCCCAACUCGUCCAGUUUGACACGAGUGUUGCGGCAGUUUUAUCUCUUCGAAAAGUUUCUCACGUAUUUUCCGUUUGAUGAUGCCUCCGUCCUUGAUCAGAUUGUGCCGAUAAAUUCGUACCACGUACGAUUCUAUUUCAUGCUUUUUCCCUGAUGAUAAAACAAAAAAAAUAACACUUUUUUUUAAAUGCUCAAUAAAACCACGUACGAAUAAAACGCUGCUUGCUUGGAAAGAAAAGCAUUGAUUGCGCGGCUAGAAGGUAAAAUAUACUCAAAACAUCCUUCUGCACUGUUUUUAAUUCGACCGCUGAUUGUAGAUAUCUAAAAAAGUAGAAGCAAUUAUGAGAAAUUGUUAUACGAAAAAAUCCAGAAAAUUACCUGCCUACAGUAAAGCGCGAGCAGCUAUUUUACCAACGAAUGCAUUUGUCACCAAAAUAUAUGAUUUGUUAUGUAAACAAAUUUGUUUUUUCACGAGCAAUGGCCGAACAGCAAUUUUGACAUUGCGGUCCACCUAUAGUAUAACGCCUUGAUCAGGGGUACGACUAAGCGUGGAAACACACUAGACGGCUCUCCCGCGCGAUUCUCGCAAUGACAAGUCGCAGCAGGAGCUCGAUGAAAAACACAUUCAGCGGCUUUCGACGGCUUCACUAGCGGCCAUUAUCAUAUUUUUAUAGACGGAUGCAAGACGAGUCUAUGGUACAAGGUACAACUGUUUGGACAGUAAGCGGAUUAGAGGGGAGGUAUAUAAAGACAGAAUGGUGGAAAACGGAAGAGGGAUGUUUACCUGAGCGAGAGGGAGAAAGAAGUUGAUCGCACACGUCUGAAAUAUUGCAUUUCUCGAUAAUUUGGGUAGUAUUCGAGAAUCCGCAGCUACAUGACCGCAGAGUGAUUUUCACGUAUUGGCUCACCGAUAGUACAUUAACUAUUACCUUGCUUCAUGUGCACCGCAUAAACACUAAUACUAUCACAAAACCGUUGCGGCGCAUCAUCUCCAUCGAGCCACCGCAGAGAAUGAGGAACCUUACAACAGUGACUUUAGAACCGGCCGUACCCGCUCCGCCUUGUGUGUUUUAUCUCAUUCACAUUCCAUUAUCGAGGCCCCGCGGCGGUCUGUCAUUGCAAAAUCCGCGCGGGGAAGCCGUCCAGUGUGUUCUUACGCUAAAACGUCAAAUCCAUCAUAUUGCCCAAAGUACGUAGAAUAG